rnacentral:rRNA from 1 species
GCUACAGGCUUAACACAUGCAAGUCGAGGGACCGGCGCACGGGUGAGUAACGCGUAUCCAACCUGCCCAUCACUUGGGGAUAACCUUGCGAAAGUAAGACUAAUACCCAAUGGUGAUGGAUGGGGAUGCGUCUGAUUAGCUUGUUGGCGGGGUAACGGCCCACCAAGGCGACGAUCAGUAGGGGUUCUGAGAGGAAGGUCCCCCACAUUGGAACUGAGACACGGUCCAAACUCCUACGGGAGGCAGCAGUGAGGAAUAUUGGUCAAUGGGCGAGAGCCUGAACCAGCCAAGUAGCGUGCAGGAUGACGGCCUAUGGGUUGUAAACUGCUUUUAUAAGGGAAUAUGUACCUUAUGAAUAAGGACCGGCUAAUUCCGUGCCAGCAGCCGCGGUAAUACGGAAGGUCCGGGCGUUAUCCGGAUUUAUUGGGUUUAAAGGGAGCGUAGGCCGGAGAUUAAGCGUGUUGUGAAAUGUAGAGGCUCAACCUCUGCACUGCAGCGCGAACUGG